CCAGUUCUCGCCCCCGGCUGCGGUAGUGCUUUAUAUCUCUCUCCCCCAAGUUUCUUUUCAGCCUCCCUAGCAGACAUGAUCGUAUCACUUUCUCGCCCUUCGUCAUCUCCGAUUCUCCACUCCGAAGUCUGCACGUUACUUCUUGAGUAGUUGAGUUAAUCCAUUGUUCUCGUCUACCGUCUACACUGUGUCAAUCAUCUCCCGUCGUUGUUGGAACUCUACAGUUUCUCAGUCUAAUUAUUCUUUACAGAGUUUCAAAUUAAGAUUCUAAAGAAGCACAAAUAUUCAGGUGAGCUAUGCUGAAUUCGAUUAUGAUUGAUUUUAUUAUUAUGCCUAAUGUGGAGAAUGAAAUUAUGAUACCCUCUAACCUGAACAUAAUAUUAAGGAUUCUUUCUCUAACCUUAUUGGUGGAGCUCUUAAGGUUAUUAAUAUUGAAAGGGAGAAAAUCUCUUGCCUCCUCACCGUCAAACCUCCUGCACUGAGAGGCACUUUUCGAGGUCCAUCAAAGG